UCCUUGUGAAUUUGGGGUUGCCAGUGCAUAAUGGGAAGGCAUUCAUGUCCACCAGUGUACCGCUGGGAGUGAGAAUGACAAAAAUCCAAGGUACUCGAACCGAACAUGUUCGCUACACGUGAGAGCUAUAAAUGACGCUCAGACUCUCGAUAAGAAAUCGCGGUAUCGAACUCCACCGUUCCCAAUAAUGCCUAAUUUCCAUAUACACGGAAAAUCGGAUGACAUUUGAACCGUGAAAAUGACUCUUAUCAGCUGACGUGUAACACAACAUUUCUCAUCCUACUUUGACACAUUUAUUUAUUACAAAAAAUCGAAGCAACGCUCAAAAUUCCAGCCACUAGCAAAGACAGGAGAAAAACACAUGUUUCGUUAUAUCCCAAUUAGUGGGGAAGAGUCACUCUUCCUCAUUUCGUGAAGGAAAACGAAAAUUAUUUUCAAAAAGUUGACAUAAAUCUUCUGAAAAAAAUGGUCUCACCGAUUGUUCCAACGUCUUUAAAUAUAUUUAUAGAUUAUAAGUCUCACAUUAACUGGGCACCGCAUUCAGUAUCAGGAAUUCGUUGAAAGCUUUGUUCUCGGUAUACAUGUAGUGAAGCACCCAUGUAUGUUCCAGGCGAUCAAAUUUCCUAUGUAAGAGAUUUAUUGCUUUAAACAAGCAUAAAAAAUAAAACAAUGGAGCUUUGUUUAUUCCUUUACGAAAACAUAGAAUUAGCGAAAAAUGUUGGAAAUGAAAAUUGAUACAAGGUCAUGACUAUUUUGAUGCAUAUAGGAUAAUCUAUUUGUCAUUACAGAAAUAUGGAAUAUUCCGUGAAACAUUGAUCUUUCCUGUUGACACGUAUAAAUAUUAUUUAUAACAUUAUUAAACAUUUGUUAUCCUCGAUAUAAAAUAUUCGGGAGUGCAAUUAGUCUCAUGCACAUAAAUAAGAAAUAAAAGGUGAAUUCUUUCAGGGAAUAUUCCAAUUUCGAUCAAUAUGAAUAGAUGUCAAUUGCGGUACCCAAUAUCGGUAACUGGUAGAUCGCUUGAAUGUACAUGAUUAUGCGAUCGAUCACUUCAAUUGAUCGUAUUCAAUGAAAUAUUUAUUCGUAUAAUAUCCGAACGAUUAUAUCCGUAGCACUUCAUCUUACAAAAUUCCCGAUAAAUACUGUAUUGUAGUUGGCGAAGUAACUAAUGAUAUCCCUAGACCUAACCUUAUGUUUAAUGAAAUCUAUGACGCGUACGGUAUAUUAUUAUAUAUAAACAUAGUACAGAAAAAGGUCAGCGAUAAACGUUAUUUUGUAUAUGUAGUAGAACGCUUAGCUACAAUUUAAAAUUAGUAUAAUGUACAGGCAUAGUCGUUGAGAAGAUACGACUUUACUUACUUUGACGUAGCUACGCACUUUAUACAGAGCGGUGCAGUGAGAUUCAAAUGACUUGAUUUUUCCAAUCGAGAAUAAUUCUCAAUGAUCGGCUUCCACUUUGAGCAUGAUAAAUUAAAUUUUCUCCACUGCCACCACAAUACUCAAGCAAAACAAUAAGAUUAUGCGUAAUCUUAACAAUCUACAUAUAUAUAUAUAUAUAUAUUUAUUUAUUUAUAUAUAUAUGUAUAUGUAUAUCAUCGUCACCAUACUCCAUCAACGUCGAUGCAAAAUAAAUCACAAUUAUUAUUUUUGCCCUUUUCUUAUGAUUUCUAUUAUUAUUAAACUUGGCCACUAUAUCAAGUUGAAACAACAUUACACCUUGUUACACUCAUUUUCCCUAGACGCUAAAAAUAUUACUCCUCUCGCUCGUCCCCGUAAAUACACGCUGUUACACCUUACACGUAAUGGAGUAUUUUGGUUUUCAAUAGCCCUCCUUCGAAAGAGGGAACUUGCUAUUUUAUUAGUGCUUUGAUUCUUCGUGUCAUUCGACAACUGGUGACAAUUCAUCCACCAACUGUGAGCCAAUCAAAGCACUACGGAAUCUUGAACAUUUCGAUCUCUUACCAGCAAUCGUUUAACUUACAUUGACCAAGAUGUAAUUCAUCUUACUGGCUCGCACGAGGCAAAGGAAGGAGGGUCCUAUCUAUUGAGUUUUGGCUUGACUUUCACGUAUACGCGUAUGUCCUAGCGAUAUCUAGUUACAUAAAGCGUUCGCUUAUAGACGUAUACAAAUAUAUAUAUAUAUAUAUAUAUAUGUAUGCCUUACGAAAUUAUACGACAAUCGAAACUGAAUUAUAGGUUAGGAGCGAAAUUUCUUCGGCCCUUGCGAUGUACUAGUAAAAUGCGGAAUGUGUUAGAAGAUAUUACACGUCUUCAGUUGACGUUGGUGCAAUUUCUUUCGUCCCUGUGCGUGUAGAACAAUAUUCUAUUCUUGUUCCGUCUUUAUAUCUCAUUUUAUUUUAUAGGCUCCCAAGUUGAUAAAGACGAACUUUGCCAUGCCAACAAUCGACCGUACCAUAGAGGUGGGCAGCUUAACUUUAUAACAUUUCCCAUUAAAAUACGUUACAUAAAUUAAGCUUGAAUUAAUCGUUGACAUUGUUAUAGACAGAACAACCAGCACCGCUGGUUAAAUUCUAAGGAAUUUGCAUAACAAUUGUCUCACCGAAAUAACGUUAAAUCGGUAAGAUUUCCUAUCUUCAGAAACAAUACCUAGAUUUAUAUAAUUAUUUCAUUACGAUUCCACGAAUGAACUGCAAUUAUUAACACGAAGAAAGUUAAAUUAGUGAUUUACUUAAACCAUGUAAUUUUCAAAUAACAGGCAACUGGUAAAAAAAUAUUUCACUCGAUAUAUUUACAGUGACAAUUGUAGAACUCACUUACCAGAAUUGGUGCAAAAGUAAAGGAUUCUAUGAUUUAUGUACCGCGUAUUUCAAAAAUGAAGAAACGCCAUCGGGAGGCCAAUAGCGAGAUGACAGGUCUACUUUUAUCUCUCAUCUAUCUUAAUUAUUUUGUAUGAUUCUAGCAAAUGACAAUUUUCCAUUCAAAUAGUUCCUACAAUUCUAAUAAAUAAUUAAUUUCCGUUUAAUUAUUUAUUUAUAGCUUAUUAAGUGACAGCUUUGAAGGUAAUAGAACAUGUGCCCAUCUUUGUCGUAUCACAAUGUCCACGAUAACUCUUUUUCAUAGGUACAUCCGGACGCGAGGACAAGCUUUUGGCAACAGUCAUACAUCGGUCACUUACGAAGUAAAUGCCUUAGUUGGAGGAAUUAUGACGCUUGUUAUGCACUUACAAGACAUCGUAAUAAGGUGAUAAGCUGUGGUAUCAGCACGUCAAAAUAAUUUGUAGGUGAGACACGCUGUGCAGCGAUUUUUAAAAUCGACUACGAGAUCUCUAGUGUCAUAUUAAUAUGUGUUAUACGUAUAUUAGGUAUGUGCAGAAUUCUGACAAUUUUAGAUUGAUAUUCGAUCAAGUGCUUCUUGUUUUACAAAACGAAAAGAUUGUAAAUCAAAUUUUGAGAACAAAUUUUAUAAAGCUCAAUUCUCUUUUCA